rnacentral:rRNA from 1 species
GAUGAACGCUGGCGGCGUGCUUAACACAUGCAAGUCGAACGAUGAAGCGGUGCUUGCACCGUGGAUUAGUGGCGAACGGGUGAGUAACACGUGAGCAAUCUGCCCCGAACUCUGGGAUAAGCGUUGGAAACGACGUCUAAUACCGGAUACGAGGCGUGGGGGCAUCCCCAACGCCUGGAAAGAACUUCGGUCCAGGAUGAGCUCGCGGCCUAUCAGCUAGUUGGUGAGGUAACGGCUCACCAAGGCGACGACGGGUAGCCGGCCUGAGAGGGUGACCGGCCACACUGGGACUGAGACACGGCCCAGACUCCUACGGGAGGCAGCAGUGGGGAAUAUUGCACAAUGGGCGCAAGCCUGAUGCAGCAACGCCGCGUGAGGGACGGCGGCCUUCGGGUUGUAAACCUCUUUUAGCAGGGAAGAAGCGAAAGUGACGGUACCUGCAGAAAAAGCACCGGCUAACUACGUGCCAGCAGCCGCCGUAACAC